rnacentral:rRNA from 1 species
UACGUAGGGGGCAAGCGUUGUCCGGAAUCAUUGGGCGUAAAGAGCGCGUAGGCGGCCCUGUAAGUCCGCUGUGAAAGUCAAGGGCUCAACCCUUGGAUGCCGGUGGAUACUGCAGGGCUAGAGUCCGGAAGAGGCGAGUGGAAUUCCUGGUGUAGCGGUGGAAUGCGCAGAUAUCAGGAGGAACACCAAUAGCGAAGGCAGCUCGCUGGGACGGUACUGACGCUAAGGCGCGAAAGCGUGGGGAGCGAACAGG